CUUGUCGGGUAAGUUCCGACCUGCACGAAUGGCGUAAUGAUGGCCAGGCUGUCUCCACCCGAGACUCAGUGAAAUUGAACUCGCUGUGAAGAUGCAGUGUACCCGCGGCAAGACGGAAAGACCCCGUGAACCUUUACUAUAGCUUGACACUGAACAUUGAGCCUUGAUGUGUAGGAUAGGUGGGAGGCUUUGAAGUGUGGACGCCAGUCUGCAUGGAGCCAACCUUGAAAUACCACCCUUUAACGUUUGAUGUUCUAACCUAGGCCCAUAAACUGGGUCGGGGACCGUGUCUGGUGGGUAGUUUGACUGGGGCGGUCUCCUCCUAAAGAGUAACGGAGGAGCACGAAGGUUGGCUAAGCAUGGUCGGACAUCAUGCGGUUAGUGCAAAGGCAUAAGCCAGCUUGACUGCGAGAGUGACGGCUCGAGCAGGUACGAAAGUAGGUCUUAGUGAUCCGGUGGUUCUGAAUGGAAGGGCCAUCGCUCAAC
rnacentral:rRNA from 1 species